CAAAACCCCCCUCCAGCUUUCAGUCUGAGGAAGAUGUCACCUUCUCUGACCUGGUCCCCGACCAUUCUUCCCACUUCUCACCUGCCAGUCCGCCCCACUCUCAGUGGUCCUCUCACUUCACCUUUGCUGACUUUCCCAUGUCCCCAGGAUGCACACCAUUUUCUUCCCCCCACCACUCUCCUCAAGAUUACGCACCCACCAGUCCUGUGAAUUAUCAAUAAAACUACAUAUUACUCAUACUAAGUGUCCCUCAUGUUUAUUUCAUGUCAUUUUUAUCCACAACCCAGCCCACUUGAAGUACAUCGACAAUGUCUUGAGAGUCCUUGAAUGGAUGAAAUCACUGUGCCAGCGGUACAAGGUCACUCCGGCCAAGUUAUUUCUGACGCGUGUUUCCAAGUUCCUCCAUUAACUCGAUGAGUAACUGUCCAAGGGCUGAGUUGGCUCCACGAGGCUGUGGAGUCUCCAGAGACUGCUGCAGUGGGAGUGCAGACAUCUGUCCGGUCGAGUCGUGCUCCACAGGCAAGGCGUGCGAGCGGAGAAGAGUACUUACAGCUCCUGCACGGCAAACUGUUGGACGCUGUCCCUGUUUCACUGGCUGAUCUGAACUUGUCCAGCAGACCCGGACAUGCUCAACCAUUGCAUCGGGCUGCUGUGUGCUCACUUCUUUUCGGUCAGCGGACACAGGACCGGAGUCCUGCAGAACCUCACGACUGAGGAGUUUGAGAACCUCGAGAAGGCUGACUCUUUCUGAUCAAUGUGAAGCAGCACAAACCUGCCUCUGCUUUUGGACUCGCUAAGCUAGCCAUCACCAAGCUGGAGCUGAAGUGGCUGAAAGCUUUCUGCCGCCUGAGGAAGCAUAUGCCGGGAUAUGAGACUUCUGUGGGGUGGCUUUUCUUUUCUGGCACACAGGCCAGGAUUUCUGCGCAUGUCAAGCUUGCCCUGCGGGCACUCGUGGGAAGGGACAUCACUGUGUCGGACAUCCGCACAGCUCUAGCAACCUACUGCGAACGCAAAAGACGAACAACGCAUGCUCGUGACCAAGACGAUGUGCUACAGCAAUUAGCUGAGUCGUGGAGCUGUCGGUCAGCGAGGCGCACUCCGCCCAGUCUGCGCUAGAGUCCGCUGCGGGCAUAGGUGCUACAUAGGCCGGUUGUUUUUGGCUAAUGGCCCUGUGUGUGUGUGUGUGUGUGUGUGUAAAUAUUUCAUUAAAAUGUUUGAACUGAAUUCCCCUUGUCAAAAGUACAGUAGCAUCACUCAUGGCGAGACCACACAACCGAAAUUUCCGAAAGUACAUGGACUGAGCUCCGGGCGAAGUUCGCAGGCUUUGCCCAGGGAGAGAGCGUCAAUUAGCUGAAUUUUUUCCUCGUUGAUUUCAAUGGUUUAUGCGUUCCUAGUCAGGGCAAGCUACUGUUUGUUGCACCUCUUCCAUCCUCCUCCACGGUCUGAAGCCAGCUGCAGCCACCUUUUCAUCACCGUCACAAUCUCAGCACUUGUUGCCCUUGAUAUUAACGGGUUCUUUCAGACAGCAUCUAAUGAACAUGAGGCAAAACAGUUGACAACUUCUGCAAUUCGAGACACGCUAAAAAGGCUAUUUAUACUUCUACGUCAGACCUUUGCGUUGCCUGAUGUGCACUUCUAAAGAAAACUGUAAUAAUGCGUCGUGUGUAUGCAGACAACAGUUGUGAUUGGUCAU